CACACACACACACACACGUGUAUUAAUGAGUCGGUUCACAAGUCCAGGCAUGACCUCUCCGAGUCUCGGGAGGUGGGGGUGUGUGGUGUAAUCCGUGCGAAUUAUGCGGGCGCAAAUUCAAGGUGUGCGAUCUGGCAGAAGAAACGAAACCCGAGGCAGAACGGGGCGAUAUGGAAAAAAGACAACAGAAGAGCGUGCACAAGAACAAGCCAUCACACCUACUGAAAAUCUUCAAGGAUAAGUGGUUAAGUCAUGAAUCACACCGCAAGGCCAGACUCAGGACUGGAGUGGAAAAGCUUUCUGAAGAAUCCCAGACACCGGUGGGAAAUAACUCCAGGGGAAAGCAGAUUAUGCUUUUAAACAUCCCACAUGCACUUAAGGUAAAGGGAUCUCCGGCUGCAGAAGGCUUCAGACACACUUACUAAACCUGCUCAUGUACCGAUGACGUUACUUAUCUGUCUAAUAAAUUACAGCAAAUGGUUGUGUGUUUUAAGCUUUAAAAGAUCACUGAUCCACUUAAAUAUGCGCAAACACACAAUGUAAGAAAGAAAUCUGCUCCACGGGCCGGUCCUGUAAUAAUAAUGAUAAUAAUAAUGAUAAUAAUAAUAAUAAU